rnacentral:rRNA from 1 species
GAUGAACGCUGGCGGCGUGCCUAAUACAUGCAAGUCGAGCGAACGGACGAGAAGCUUGCUUCUCUGAUGUUAGCGGCGGACGGGUGAGUAACACGUGGAUAACCUACCUAUAAGACUGGGAUAACUUCGGGAAACCGUAGCUAAUACCGGAUAAUAUUUUGAACCGCAUGGUUCAAAAGUGAAAGACGGUCUUGCUGUCACUUAUAGAUGGAUCCGCGCUGCAUUAGCUAGUUGGUAAGGUAACGGCUUACCAAGGCAACGAUGCAUAGCCGACCUGAGAGGGUGAUCGGCCACACUGGAACUGGGACACGGUCCAGACUCCUACGGGAGGCAGCAGUAGGGAAUCUUCCGCAAUGGGCGAAAGCCUGACGGAGCAACGCCGCGUGAGUGAUGAAGGUCUUCGGAUCGUAAAACUCUGUUAUUAGGGAAGAACAUAUGUGUAAGUAACUGUGCACAUCUUGACGGCACCUAAUCAGAAAGCCACGGCUAACUACGUG